ensembl:misc_RNA
CCGACUGCCGGGCUAUAAUCUAUGAAACUGAGCCCAGAUCCAGCCAAUCAGUUCACUCCUCAUAACAAGUCUAACUGGCUCUGGAAAGCUGAAAGGGCUGCACUGGAGCAACGUAGAUGAGAUAUUCCACACAAUGAUCUGCUUAUCUAGAAUCACUUUGCCUGGAAAGACCAGAGAAAAAUCACUUUGUCUAAGGAAAGGACAGGUGAUCUGGCAAAACCACCACGGAACCUGGAGCAA